UUGAAUGCCCGUGCGUUGCCACGGACACACGAAAUCCGAAAUAUGAUGUGAAAAGAUUACUCGACAAAGUGAUAGCAUGGACUUGGAUAUUUUAAAUGAGUGCUUUUUAUAGAAUAUAUUUUGACAAAAAACAAUGUUAAAGGUAAUUCAAAAUCCAUGAACAUGGAUAAACUUGUUUUUAAAUGUAGAUAAUAACUAAAUCAUCCGUGAAAUUAGCACAUCUCUUAAAACACCAUAGACACAAACAAACAUGACGAAACAGUCACCUACAUAGUAGAUACAAACCAAGUACGUGAUAACACUUACAGAUUGAAACACACAAUCAUGCGUAAUAGACAUAACCAAUGUCUACUAUAUGUACUACAUGCGCUGAGCUUUCUUUGUAUACAUUCUGUGUCGGGAAUCCUUUGUAGACAACUCGCUUGCUAGGAAAGCCCACCUCCACUCAAUAAAUUGCUGAACAAACUUCAUAUCAAUCAACCCACCAGUUAUUUUCUGGCGAAUAUCUGCAAAAAUAUAUAUCAUAAAUGUUGCAUUUAAUAAUAUUUAAACUUUGUGUACAUAUGUUAAUAACAAUCAUAAGUAAUUGAUUGGUAGUUGAUAAUAAGUCAUGACUACUCACCAUCAAGUGUGCGUGCUGCAGUAUGAUCCGGAUUGAAUGCAAGGGUGGUGUAGUUUGAAGUUUCCGGAAUUCCUAUUGCCAAGAUAAAAAAGUAUUUAAGUCGACAUAACAGUACACUUGAUAAUCACUGUGUAGUUUGAAGUUUC